rnacentral:rRNA from 1 species
CCUACGGGAGGCAGCAGUAGGGAAUCUUUCACAAUGGGCGAAAGCCUGAUGGAGCAACGCCGCGUGCAGGAUGAAGGCCUUCGGGUUGUAAACUGCUUUUAUAAGCGAGAAAUAUGAUGGUAACUUAUGAAUAAGGAUCGGCUAACUACGUGCCAGCAGCCGCGGUCAUACGUAGGAUCCGAGCAUUAUCCAGAGUGACUGGGUGUAAAGAGUUGCGUAGGUGGCAUAAUAAGUAGCUAGUGAAAUCUGGUGGCUCAACCAUUCAGACUAUUAGCUAAACUGUUAAGCUCGAGACCGUUAGGGGUAACUGGAAUUUCUAGUGUAGGAGUGAAAUCCGUAGAUAUUAGAAGGAACACCAAUAGCGUAGGCAGGUUGCUGGGACGGUUCUGACACUAAGGCACGAAAGCGUAGGGAGCAAACGGGAUUAGAUACCCCAGUAGUC